AUUCUACUCUAGGCCAAUUCUUUUGCAUUAUAGUGCACACCAAAAUACCAUGUUAUGAGAGGUGGCAAAACCUUAUUGCUUAGUUAUGCUAAUUAAAAGAACCUUCUGGUUAAUUUCUUUUCUCUUUUCUUUUCCUUUUUUACUUUUUUUUUAAAAAAAAAAAUGGCCUAAAAUGUUCUGUAAGUUGGCAGACAAGCUUUUAAUGGGAAUGCUCGUAGUCAGAGAUCUUAAUAUGGAGCCCCAUGCUUCAUGUUAAAGAAUUAAUUAACUAUAAAUGGUGCACAUGGCUUUUGAGAUCUUUCGUAGUAUAUGAUAUUAAGAUCACUUUGAACACUAAUCGAGAGAGAGAGAUCGAGAGAGAGAGAGAGAGAGAGAGUUACCAUUCUAUCAAUUUCAAGAGGUCGCUAUAGCUUCCUUCAUGGCCCAGAAGAAGCACAGCAGCUUCUUACUCCAGCUGAUUGAAAGCAACAGAGGUGGCAACGAUGGCAACUUCAAUUAUAAAGGAGUUGAACGUGAAGGAGAACCAAAAAUGAAUUAUUCGAAGGUACAUGCUACUCAGGAUAGAGUUUUUCAGGUGGCAGCAGCUGGUGGUCCAACACUUGCCAACCCUUCAAAAGGCCCCCCACCUCAAACAAAUUAAUUAAAAGAGAGUUCGAAAACAUAGGUCAUGUGCAUAGCAGCUUCUGCUUGUCCUCCUCUGGGCCUUUUGUGUGUGCUUUUUUUAAGCUUUAUGAACCGGUUGUUAUGUCUCUGCUGUGUUAAUUAGCUAAUGAAGCUUUAUUUCCUCAAACAAA